rnacentral:lncRNA from 1 species
AAGCGAGAAAAUAAUUCAUCAACUGUGGGGACAGUCGGACUAGCCAAAAUCUGAUCGCGUACUGAGUCAAGAUCAUUAGGAAGUCCAGCAAGAGCAAGAACUAGAAACAGCUUUUGUCGUUGCUCUUGUGCUUUUCAACGCUAGCAGAAACUGGCCUCAACGUCUCAAAUUCCUCCAUAAUUGCCUGCACUUGACCCAAGUAAGUAGACAUAUCCAAUU